UUCCCAGUUGUUGUUACAAGUUUGGAACAAGCUGUUAACAACUUGUAACAAGCUUGAUGGAAUUAAGUUUGACGACACAAGGUUGUAACAAUAUUUCUAUAUCAUGACUGUAUCGGAUUUGUGCUUGCAACAAGUCUGAUAAUAUUUAUAAGAUUGUUGCAAGUUGUUAACAGCUUGUUCUAAACUUGUUGACAACUUGGGAC